UAGCCAUCAUUUGGAGCACAUCUUGAUCCGUAUAUUGAGGCUUUAGUCCCUCUUCCAAAGAUUGCCUUAAGACUAUAUAGUACAAUUGUUCUAUAUUUUGGUAACCAAGAUCAUUUGUGAAAUUUCUUGACUUAAUAUAACUCAUUAAAUCUAGGUCAUAAUUAUAAUAAUAGCUGAUGAAGCCACCAAUGUCUUGCAUGCUAGGAGAGAAAUGAAAAAAUCUACAUGAUGGAUUUCUAAUAUAACUAAGUCAUCCAUUUGGCAUACAUACAUAAAAUCAUUAUUAAUAUAACAUUGUUAUAAAACAGUAGUAUUAUCUAAUUUACUUAACAUACAAUACUAUUG
rnacentral:lncRNA from 1 species